rnacentral:rRNA from 1 species
GGUGAAAAGCACCCCGGAAGGGGAGUGAAAUAGAACCUGAAACCGUGUGCUUACAAGUAGUCAGAGCCCGUUAAUGGGUGAUGGCGUGCCUUUUGUAGAAUGAACCGGCGAGUUACGAUUUGAUGCAAGGUUAAGCAGUAAAUGUGGAGCCGUAGCGAAAGCGAGUCUGAAUAGGGCGUUUAGUAUUUGGUCGUAGACCCGAAACCAGGUGAUCUACCCUUGGUCAGGUUGAAGUUCAGGUAACACUGAAUGGAGGACCGAACCGACUUACGUUGAAAAGUGAGCGGAUGAACUGAGGGUAGCGGAGAAAUUCCAAUCGAACCUGGAGAUAGCUGGUUCUCUCCGAAAUAGCUUUAGGGCUAGCCUCAAGUGAUGAUUAUUGGAGGUAGAGCACUGUUUGGACGAGGGGCCCCUCUCGGGUUACCGAAUUCAGACAAACUCCGAAUGCCAAUUAAUUUAACUUGGGAGUCAGAACAUGGGUGAUAAGGUCCGUGUUCGAAAGGGAAACAGCCCAGACCACCAGCUAAGGUCCCAAAAUAUAUGUUAAGUGGAAAAGGAUGUGGCGUUGCCCAGACAACUAGGAUGUUGGCUUAGAAGCAGCCAUCAUUUAAAGAGUGCGUAAUAGCUCACUAGUCGAGUGACACUGCGCCGAAAAUGUACCGGGGCUAAACAUAUUACCGAAGCUGUGGAUUGUCCUUUGGACAAUGGUAGGAGAGCGUUCUAAGGGCGUUGAAGCAUGAUCGUAAGGACAUGUGGAGCGCUUAGAAGUGAGAAUGCCGGUGUGAG